rnacentral:lncRNA from 1 species
CUCGCGAUGCCCUUGCCUCGAUCCUGGUCCGCAGACGGUGCAGCAGCCGGCACCUGUGGCUCUGCAAAAACAUAGGUAACAACUGGGCGUGAGAACUACUGUAAAAACAAGUAGUCCUCAGUGGGUACCGCCCAAAACAACAUCGGUCACCCACUAAGUCUACAGAAGGGAGCUAAGAUAGAAGGAAAGCAGGAAUCAUACUCUACCGCUAUCAUCCACUACACUAUCAUGCUCUACACUAACCAACUGUAGAAAAUGUCAAAUCUGACCCAAUCCAAUCGGGACUGUAAGCAUACCCGUCCCCGGGACUGUGAAUACACCCGUCCCUGCCCCGUUGCGACUAUCAAGCUCUAUCCACACUAACCGGUCCGUGGAGAGCAAGUCCAACUGGCAUGAGCGACACCAACGCAAAAACACAAGCCUGACUCCGGAGUGGCACUCGUGGGCGCUACCCAACCGAGUAUGCAGCGUAUCUCUGUCGAGCUCAAUCAGGCUCCAACUAGCCAAAGUCAAGUAAUCGACUCGAAAUGGUCUAACAACCAACAGGUAACGUGCCCUCGGCACAAUCUGACGCCAAAAAGGCGAUACGGGUCCACCGUCAACUCUGACAGCACCCAACAGUCCGAAACGACCUGAACGAACCUGUAAAAAUUCACUCGGCGAACCAGCACGAGUGUAAAUACAUUCUAAACUACCUGGAGUACUUGUCUCGAAGAAACUGCGACAGUACAAUUUUCUGACGGCUCCUAGAGCUAAAUUUGGUAGUUAAAACUGGUGACAGGUCCAAAUCGCAGGUUUUCUCCUAAUUCAAUUUCCAAGUCCAACAUGUAUAAUUUAAAUAAUUAUAAAGCAUGCUCAAAAUUCAGUUCUCACAUUCAAGCACUUAACCCAUGAAUUUGAGCUAAACUAGAUUACCAAAAUUCAGAUCUAUACAUGUCGACGAUUAUGAACUUAGGAGUCGAAACCGAUGUAACCCACCUCGCUCGCUAAUCCCUGGCAGCACGGAACACCCUCGGCUGCAACACCACCUGCUGGAUUGACCAAAAAUGCCCGAGUCUCGAAAUCGAGCGAACUCCAAACUAAAAACGUACAUACAUACAUACAUACAUACAUACAUAUAGCCGAUAGCACGAACAUUUUCGUGGUUCAUAAACCACCAACAUUAAAAAAGUGGCAAUCUAAAUAGGAAAACUAGUAAAAGUGGGAAAUCAAAUAUGAUAAGUUGAUUGGCGGGUGAGUUAAGAUCCCAUGGCGAUAGUACACUCUGGCGUCUAUCAGGAGAUAUAUUCUAGAUUAUCCCGAUGUUGAGAACUGCGCCGUAAAUCGUAAAACCCACCAAAGAUCUGCAUAUCUCCAAGUCUCUAAGAUGCGCACAAUCCUGCCCUCAACAGGAUACUAAACACUGACAGACCUCAUCAACCCCAAAAAAUAAAAAACUAGGAACACUCUAGGGACCACAAACUGACACCUCUGAACAGCUGUCGAGACCUCUCACAGCCCUGUUCAGGCUCAGCGCAACCGCAGUUUACCUGCGUUUUGCCCGAGGCACGCUGCGCUCCCGUUGAAAGUCGCUUCUUUUAGACGUUUGACGUCAAAAAGACGAACGACAUGGCCAUGUCGGUAGUUCCACAUGGCCAUGUGACGUGACCCGGCGCGCACCCAACGAGAGCCCAACCGAGGACAUGGCCAUGCGCUAGGGCACAUGGCCAUGUGGUCUCAUCCACUCCCCGAAAAACCAUAAAAAUGUAACGGAGCAAACAUAGAGGGGAGUGAGGGGAGAUAUAUCAAAGCACAUCCCUCUCUCUCUCUCUGAAAAACGACGGUAAGAGGUAGAGAGAGAGUGAGAAGGUAGGCCAACUUCCGUUCCACCUUGGGCCCACCUCAAAACAGCGGCUGCAGCGCGGCGCUUCGGCGAUCUCGAACACAACUGCGGCCCCGAAACGCUCCUCCGGCCCGCUCGCCUCCAAAAGCGGCAGGAACGACAGUGUGUCCAUGAACCACAACAGCUCCACUCAUAAGUCGUAAAGAAACCUAAAAACCCGUUUAAGAAUGCUGAAGUUGAGCUCCUCUACAACAAACGACUUAAAGUGGCAGCUGACAAACAUAAAACCGAGCAAGAGCUGCAUCCUCGUAGCCUAACGCUGCUCUGAACCAAGCAACCUAAGCCCUGACGCUCUCCUUAGGUGCUUCGGGAAUGAACGCUUAAAACCACUUCCAAUCGAGCCAGCUUAGGGCAAAGAUGAGUCGACGACACCUAAAACCUGACUUAACUCCUUAAAACCNCUGAACACCAGGGAUCUCACAUCCUCUCCCUCUAGAAAAAAUUUCGUCCGCGAAACUGAACGUACCUGACUCAGGCGUCAAACAAGUAGGGAUAGGCUUCCCUCAUCACCGUCUCAGGCUCCCAAGUCGCCUCCCGCUCCUCGUGAUCACUCCACUGCACCUUUACAAAGGGUAUGACCCGGUUGCGCAAUUCCCUCGUCUCACGAGCCAGAAUCCGCACCGGUCGCUCCUCGUAGCUCAGGUCCUCGCCAAUCACAAGCGGAGUGAAGUCGAUCACGUGGGAGGGGUCGAAUACAUAUUUCCUCAAAGCCGAGACGUGGAACACAUUAUGAAUGCCGGCUAGCCGUGGUGGUAGAGCAAUCCUGUAAGCAACUGGCCCGACUCGCUCCAAUACCUCGAAAGGGCCUACAAAACAUGGACUGAGCUUUCCACGUACACCAAAUCGGCGAAUCCCUCUGGACGGCGAGACUUUAAGAAAAACAUGAUCUCCAACCUGAAACUCCAAGUCUCGUCUCCUGGUAUCGGCGUAGCUCCUCUGUCGGCUCUGCGCUGUCAAAAGGUGUCGUCGAACGACUCUCACCUUUUCCUCUGCCUCAAGUAGAAUAUCAGGCCCAAGCGUCUUCCUCUCACCCACAUCACUCCAAAACAAAGGGGAUCGACAUCUUCGUCCAUACAACGCCUCAAACGGAGCCAUCCGGAUGCUCGCUUGAUAGCUGUUGUUGUAUGCAAACUCAACCAGUCUCAAAUGCCGAUACCACCCUCCUCCAAAGUCCAAGACACAUGCCCUCAGCAUGUCCUCUAGAGUCUGAAUGGUCCGCUCUGACUGACCAUUUGUCUGUGGGUGAAACGCCGUGCUGAAAUGCAACUGUGUACCCAAGGCUGUCUGCAAACUCCUCCAGAAGUGCGAUACGAACCUCGGGUCCCGGUCGGAUACUAUCGAAGUGGGCACGCCAUGCAACCUCACUAUCUCAUCCAAGUACAACUGAGCGAGUCUCUCUCUGGACCAAGUGGUCUGCACCGGUAAGAAGUGAGCAGACUUGGUCAGUCUGUCCACUAUCACCCAAAUCGCAUCAAAACCACCCUGUGCUCUCGGCAAUACGACGACAAAGUCCAUCGUGAUCUGCUCCCAUUUCCACUCGGGCACUGGUAGACUCUGAAGCUUGCCAGCAGGUACCUGAUGCUCGGCCUUUACCUGUUGACAAGUAAGACACUGAGCCACAAAUCUACCAAUGUCCCUCUUAAUUCCAUUCCACCAAAACUGAGCCUUUAAAUCCUUAUACAUUUUGGUUCCACCGGGGUGAACCGUAUAAGGUGAACAGUGAGCCUCUCUCAAGAUGUCCUCUCGGAUCUCUGAAUCCAUAGGUACACACAGUCGGUCCCUGUACCUAAGUACUCCCGCACUGUCCAAAGCAAAUCCCUCAGCCUGCCCCCUGUCUAGCUGCUCUCUAAUCCUCAACAAAUGCGGAUCUCCACUCUGUUUCUCGCGGAUCCUAUCCAACAGAGUAGGCUGCAACACAAGAGAUGUCAGCCUCGCUGUAGACCCAGGGGGUACUAUCUCGAGUCCCAGCCGCUGUAGCUCCUCGAGUAGGGGUCUCUGCUCCGUGAUCCUCAAACUCAGGCUCUGCACUGACUUCCUACUCAACGCAUCUGCCACCACAUUCGCCUUGCCGGGAUGAUACUGGAUACUAAUGUCAUAAUUCUUCAGCAACUCCAACCACCGGCGCUGUCUCAAAUUCAACUCCUUUUGGGUGAACAGAUACUUGAGACUUUUAUGAUCAGUAAAAAUCUCGCAGUGCUCGCCGUACAAGUAAUGCCGCCAGAGCUUCAAAGCAAAAACCACCGCGGCAAGCUCCAAGUCAUGCGUAGGGUAAUUCUUCUCAUAAUCCUUUAACUGCCGUGAAGCAUAAGCAAUCACCCUACCAUGCUGCAUCAGUACGCAACCAAGUCCACUGUGCGAUGCAUCACUGUAAAUCACAAAUCCUUCGCCCAUAACAGGAAGGGCAAGGAUAGGAGCCGACAUUAACCUCAANCCGGCGACCGCACCUCGGGAGGAGAUGGCUACAGCAUUACCUGUUCAGAGACCAGCGACGGGGGCGGCAUUUCCCGUGAUGGCCGAGGGAGCCGAGCGGGAUCGGCUCAUGGAUCGCCUCAGUGAGUUCAGGAGGUGCAGCCCGAGGAUCUUCGAUGGCGAGAACGUCGACCAUUGGAUUGUUGAGAAGUGGUUGAUGCAUAUGGAGAACCUUUUUCGAGAUACCUUUGUUGAGGAGAGGGACAGGGUUUGGCUCGCCACUCACUUUCUGGACGGCGAGGCCUAUCGUUGGUGGUUGGAUAUCCAGGACAACCCCAGCACCGACUUGACAGCGAUUACUUGGACGAGGUUCAAGGUGCUCCUUCUAGCGCACUACUUCCCGACCAGCGCCAAGAGGAAGAUGGAGCAGGAUUUGCGUAGCUUGUGCCAGGACGAGCAAUCAGUGGCCGAGUACGAGAGAGAGUUUUUUCGGCUACUCCACUGUGUACCUUUUGUGGUCCGGGAUGAUCAGGACAAGGCCCGCAUCUUUGAGCGUGGAUUGCGGCCUUCGAUCUUUCGGUUGGUGCAGUCCUCCAACCUCCAAACCUACCGGGAGGUUGUGGACCGUGCACUCAUAGUGGAGGCAGGAGCAGCGGAUUUGCAGGAGCAUCGUGAGAGCUUGGAGAAAGGGAAGGGCCAGAGGCCCGCGGCUAAGGGUGCGAGUCAGACGCACUCACGGAGGCCGCCGAGGCACCCCAGGAGCCGGAGCCAGUCGCGAGGACGUGGCCAGUCUACUCAACGAGGAGGACCCGAUCGUCGUCAGGCUCCCCACUGCGUGAUCUGUGGCGGUCCUCAUUAUCCGCGGCAAUGUUCACGCAGUUGGGGCAGGUGCUUCUUGUGUGGCCAGGAGGGCCACUUCCAGUCGGAUUGCCCGAGGAGUCCUUUGCCAGCGCCAUCUUCGGCAUCUGCACCUGCAUCGCCAGGUCCCAGCCAGGGGACAUCUUCUGCGCACCACCAGGCCGGUCGGCCACCUGUCCAGCGGUCGACGGAGGGGUCACGACAGGCCCCGAGCGGGUGCAUGUAUGCAGCCCAGACUGAGGAGGCAGCGGCAGCCGAGAAUGUGGUCGCAGGUAUCAUUUUACUUUAUGGUAUUCGAGUUAGGGCUUUAUUUGAUACCGUUGCAUCGCAUUCAUUCAUAGACCGGCUGUUUGCCGAGUUGCAUGGCAUCCCACUUGUAUCCUUGUUGCAUCCGGGACGAGUCAUUGUACCCGAUCAUUCUUUGGACAUUCGGGAGUUUUGCCCCAGUUGCCGUGUUCGGGUUGGAGAUUGGAUCAUGCCCGUGGACUUGCUAGCUUUGCAUAAACUCGGGGAGUUUGAUGUUGUUUUGGGCAUGGAUUGGUUGACUAAGUACUACGCCACUAUCGAUUGCAAGAAUCGAACGGUGACUUUUAGAGAGCCAAGGCAGGCGGAGGUUGUGUACCGAGGAUGCCAGAGUUCGCUGUUUGCGAUGACGAUUAGCUCCUCGCGAGCUAGGCAGUUGAUUAGUAGAGGCUCCGUAGCCUAUUUGGCUACUGUGUUGUUGAAGGGUGAUGACGACGCCCCUAGGAUUGCGGAUAUCCCCGUAGUACGGGAAUUUGGAGAUGUGUUCCCAGCGGAGCUACCAGGUAUGCCACCUGAUAGAGAGAUUGAGUUUGUGGUAGAUCUCGUUCCCGGGACUACUCCAAUCUCAAAGGCGCCUUAUAGGAUGGCGCCGGCGGAAUUGAAGGAGCUGAAGGUCUUCUGGACAAGGAUUUUGUGCGACCGAGUGUGUCACCUUGGGGAGCACCAGUCCUAUUUGUCAAGAAGAAGAAUGGAUCACUUCGCUUGUGCGUGAACUAUCGUGAACUUAAUAAAGUCAUGAUCAAGAACAAGUAUCCAUUGCCAAGGAUCGACGAUCUAUUUGAUCAGCUUCAGGGAUCUUGUGUGUAUUCCAAGAUCGACUUGCAGUCAGGAUAUCACCAGUUGAAGAUCAGACCUGAGGAUGUGUCGAAGACGGCUUUUAGAACACGGUAUGGACAUUAUGAGUUUACUGUCAUGUCGUUUGGGCUUACUAAUGCCCCGGCAGCUUUUAUGGAUUUAAUGAACCGUGUUUUUAAGCCUUACCUAGACAAGUUCGUUGUGGUAUUCAUCGACGACAUUUUGGUCUAUUCCCGAAGUGAUGCAGAUCAUGAGGAACACUUGAGACUUGUACUUCAAGUGUUUCGGGAAAAGAAGCUCUAUGCCAAAUUGAAGAAGUGUGAAUUUUGGCUUAGAGAGGUGGCGUUUUUGGGCCAUGUGAUUUCAGGAUCAGGCAUAGCCGUGGACCCGAGAAAAAUUGAAGCUAUCAAGGAUUGGCCGAGGCCGACGAGUGUCACAGAGAUACGGAGCUUCAUUGGUUUGGCCGGCUAUUACCGACGGUUCGUCGAGGGAUUUGCAAAGUUGUCUACUCCCCUCACGAGACUCACGCAUAGAGGCACCAAGUUUAUUUGGAAUGAUGCUUGUGAAAGGAGCUUCCAAAAGCUGAAGCGGCGAUUGACGACUGCCCCGAUCCUAACCUUGCCGACUGCUGGAGCAGAGUAUGUGAUUUAUAGUGAUGCUUCCUUUAAUGGAUUGGGCUGUGUCUUGAUGCAGGACGGGAAAGUGAUCCCGUAUGCAUCUCGCCAGUUGAAGGAAUAUGAAAGAAACUACCCUACUCACGACUUGGAGUUGGCGGCCGUAGUCUUUGCAUUGAAGCUAUGGCGCCACUACUUAUACAGCGAGCGAUGCGAAGUAUAUACGGAUCACAAAAGCUUAAAGUACCUAUUCACGCAGAAGGAGUUGAACUUGAGGCAGCGCAGAUGGUUGGAGCUACUCAAGGAUUAUGAUUUGACGAUACUUUACCACCCGGGCAAGGCUAACGUGGUAGCGGAUGCACUAAGUAGGAAAUCGACGGAAAACUUAACGAUGUUUGUGGUUACUCAACCGCCGUUGAUCAAGCAGAUGAAGCGGUUGGAGUUGGAGGUGGUGGCUCCUGAUACACCUUUGAGACUGAUGACUUUGGUGGUGCAACCUACACUUUUGGAAAGGAUUAAGGAAAAGCAAGCUUCCGACUCGGAGUUGCAAAAGAUUCGAGCUAAGAUGGUUGAUGGUUGCACCGGUGACUUCACUUCAGACGGUGAUGGACUGAUGCGUUUCUGCGGACGACUUUGUGCACCGGCGGACUCGGACAUUAAAGAGGAUAUUCUUCAAGAAGCACAUCGAGCACCGUAUGCUAUACAUCCGGGAGGCACCAAGAUGUACAAGGACUUGAAGUUGCUUUAUUGGUGGCCCGGAAUGAAAAAGGAUGUUGGUGAGUUUGUGGCUAGAUGUUUAACUUGCCAACGGGUGAAGGCUGAGCACCGAGUUCCUGCGGGGAAGUUAUAGAGCCUAUCGAUUCCAGUGUGGAAGUGGGAAAAGAUCACCAUGAAUUUCGUGAUGGGAUUGCCUCGCUCACAGGCCGGGCAUGAUGCUAUUUGGGUGAUCGUGGAUAGAUUGACGAAAUCGGCACAUUUCAUACCUAUCCACACUACUUGGACUGGUGAGAGACUCGCACAGGUUUAUUUGGACGAGAUUGUGCGUUUACACGGGGUACCUACUUCUAUAGUAUCGGAUCGAGACCCCCGUUUUGUAUCCCAUUUUUGGAAGAGCUUACAGGACGCUUUGGGUACGCGCUUGGAUUUUAGCACUGCUUUCCACUGUUAAGGAUUUUAUAGGUUGGCGGAUUUCGUACUGCUGAAUGGAGUCUUGAAGAGUUGAUUGCGGAAGAUUGAAAAAAAGAUCUAAAUUGAAGGAAAAAGACUCACUCGUAAAGUUCGGCACCUAAGGUAUGAAGAAAAGAUCAUUUGUGAUGAAGACAUUUGUUUAGAAUAAGUUCAGAAGGCUUAGAUUGCUUUAAAAAUACUUUACUGAACUUUUCUGUGUUCAGGGACCGGUCCCUGAGGUCAAGAGACCGGUUCCUCUAAGGUCCUCACUGCGUGAACUUUGAUGCAACCGGUCCCCUGAGAUGAGAGACCGGUUCCCGAACCUUGGUAUUUCUGUCGCGCAGCGAGGGACCGGUCUCAAGCUUGAGAGACCGGUUCUCGAAUGUUGUGAUUUUGGUUACGCAGCGAGGGACCGGUUCCUCACUUGAGAGACCGGUCUCUCACAGACCGGUCUCCUCGAGAAGACCGGUCUCUGAGGACGACACAGGUUUUUAAAAAAGGACUUUUUGCAAUCCUAGUCUACUUCUAAGUCUUCUAAACAAAUAAGUAAGCUAUGUGGGUCAUCUAAAAGUUUAAGGCUUUGAAUAUUUACAGAUUCUAAACCCUAGAAACUUUUUUUUUUCCGUUUCAAUGCUUUGAUUCACAUAACGAGUUUCUAACAAUCAACAAUCGGCUUAAUUCUUCGUUUUUACUCGAUAACUCAUACGAGAAUCAAGUAGAUUUUUGAUUAAAGGUAAACCCUCAUAGCUUAUGGUAUUCAAAGGUUAAAUCAUCACAAAUCUUCGAUUCUACAAGCUCCGGAAGGAGGUUCGACGCGUGGAUCUCGCGUGAAGCUGAGGAUUCGGUGGACGCUUCGAGGAGUUGAGGCGUUGACGCUGCGAGGAGUUGCAGCAAGGUCGAUUGGUGGAUUCCUAUCGAUCGAGGACCGGCGAAGAUCACCAUCAACAAGAAAUCGGUAAAUUGAGUCGUGUAUUUUUGUCAAAAUCACUUGUACUCAAGUUUUCUUAGUGGAUUUUCUUCGCGUGAUCGGUCCCGUGGGUUUUUCACUCCGAAUUGGAGUUUUCCCACGUUAAAUUCUCGGUGUGCUGUUUUAUUUUCCACUACUUUAUUUUAUUUGCAUCGAGAUUUUCGAGUUUGCCGUAUUUACACCUAUUCACCCCCCUCUAGGUGUUACUUACCUUUUAGAUCCUCAGGAUCCAUAUCUUACAAGUGGUAUCAGAGCGGGUAUAGGUUGUAAUACAUGGCCGAGGGCGGUAACAUCAAUCGACCCCCGCUCUUCGAUGGUACUAACUACGCUUAUUGGAAAGUCCGUAUGAGGGCGUUUCUUAUUGCUAUCGACGAGCGGGUAUGGCAAGCCAUUGAAUUCGGAUGGAAACAUCCUACCGAAGUUGUCGAGAAUGUUACCGUUCCGAAACCUAGAAAUAAAUGGACGAAAGAGGAAAAUGAACUAUCUUCGUUCAACGGAAAAGGUAUCAAUGCUUUAUUCAAUACUUUAAAUCAAACUGAAUUUUCUCGCGUCUCGGCGUGCGAAACCGCCAAAGAGAUUUGGGACACUUUGCGAGUUACACACGAGGGUACAAGCUUGGUUAAGAUUCAAAAAUUACAAAUGCUUACUAGUAGAUUUGAUUCCAUUCGUAUGGAAGAAUAUGAAUCUUUUACCGAGUACUAUAGUCGUUUGCAAGAUAUUGUAAACACGUGUGCUAACUUGGGCGAGAAAAUUUCCGAUUCCAAAAUUGUUCGAAAAAUUUUGAGAACUCUUCCCGAACGAUUCCGUCCUAAGGUUGCGGCUAUUGAAACGGUCAAACAUCCUGAUAAACUCAAGGUAGAAGAAUUAGUAGGUGCUCUUCAAACUUAUGAAAUGACUUUUCCUUCUAAUUCGUAUUCUUCCAAGUCUUUUUCUAAAGCCUCAGGGAUGGCUCUAAAAUCAACAAAAGGAGAUGUCACUUCAACCUCAUCAGAUUCAGAGUCGGAGCAAACCCUGGAGGACUUUGAAAAGCAACUAGCACUUCUAACAAAGAAGUUUCGUCGGAACUUUAGAAAGAAGUUUCCUCCCAAGUCUACUUCUUCCAAGACAAGCAAAUCUAAAGGAGGUUCGUCUUCUUCUUCCUCAUCAAAAUACAGAAAAUCUGAUAACUCUCAAAAGGACUCUAGAAAAGAGAAGAAAAGCAGUGAAGGCCAAAUUCAAUGCUACAAGUGUAGGGGCUUUGGCCAUAUCGCAUCUGACUGUCCUAAUAAAAAGUCAUUGAAGAAGAAAGUGAUGCAAGCUAUUACUUGGGACGACUCCUCAUCUGACGAUUCCACUUCGAGUGAAGAGGAUGUAAAUGCCACGGCACUGAUUGCACAGGAUUCAACUUUCAUGUGUUUAGCAUCUGCUGACUCGAUCUCUAUGACAUCUAUACAAGAGAAGUCAUCUUCGGAGAACUCAUCAGAUGAAGAAUCGGACGAAGAUGACAUGGUCGCAGCAUACCAACAAUUGGUUGUUGAAUCAAAGAAGAUGGCUAAACAUAACAAGAGACUGCGGCGAAGUCUACAUGAGUUGGAACAAGAAAAUUCAAAAUUGGCCUCACUAACAAAGGAUUUAGAACAAGAGAGAGAUGGUUUGACAAAGGCCUACAAUUCCUUGAUCGAGAAGUGUUCAUUACUUGAAAAGGAAAAAGAGACUCAAGUGGAGAAUAUCACUUUUCUCACCAAGCAAUACUCAGAAGCUAGAGAAGAAAAUAUGGAAUUCACCAAGACGAUUAUUCAACUAAAGUCAGAUUUGAACCAAUUUUCGUCUGGAUCAAGUAAACUCGACAAGAUGCUUGGACUUGGUCAAACAAACAAACUUGGACUUGGGUACGAACGGACCUAUGUUGACCAAGCGACAAAGAAAGAUGGCGGACAUUCAUCAACUGCUGUUCCUAAGCUCUAUGGUAAGUUCGUCUCUCCUCAAAACAAUCUGACUAACAAAACUUGUCAUAUUUGUGGUGCUUUAGAACACAUAAAGAAAUUCUGCAAACAAAAGGGAAAGAGCGCAUCAACACCCUUGAAUCAAAGAACAUCAUUCAUGAAGAAUAAUCAUAUAUCUAAAGGGAAGUCAACUUGGACUCCAAAGAAGGUUGAUCACAAGAAAAAACAAGCAUGGAAACCAAAAAGGAGGAGAUGAAGAAGAAGUCAAUUCAAAUCGUCGACAAGCCACGAUCAACAAAAGCAAGCGAACUGACACAACCCAAAACACGUAAGGUUUGGGUGCGCAAAGGUGAACUCUUCCCAUGCCUAGUCAUUCACACUUCGCUUCAUGCUUACGAUAAUACAUCAUGGUAUCUGGAUAGUGGUUGUUCCCGUCACAUGACCGGAGAUAAAAAUUGGUUUACUUCUUUGAACAAAAUCUCCGGAGGACUUGUUGUUUUUGGGGACGGUCGAUCGUCAAAAAUUGUUGGAAAAGGAACAGUGACUAUCUCAGAUGGCCCUACGUUGAACGAUGUUUUUUAUGUUGAGGGGCUCAAAUCUAAUCUCGUAAGCAUAAGCCAACUGUGUGAUAAUGGGUAUUCUGUAAAUUUUUCUGAUAAAGAAUGCCAUGUGACUCGUGAUGACAAUCUGUUCUUAAAGGGCAUUAGAUCUCAGAACAAUUGUUAUGUAGUUCCUAGUUCUUCCACUGAACAUUGUAACCUAGCGUCAUUAGAAACUGAAACUUUAUGGCAUGAACGACUAGGUUACAUAAACUUUAAGGAGCUAUCAAAGAUAACCAAGAAGGAGGUAGUUAGAGGUGUACCUAAGAUUGAUUUUAAAGAGAACACUGUGUGUGGGGGUUGCCAAUUGGGGAAACAAACUAGAUCCACACAUAAGAACUUGAACCACUUAGGGACAACUAAGCCUUUAGAGUUACUUCACAUGGACUUGAUGGGACCAUCUAGGAUUCAAAGUUUGGGUGAAAAACGUUAUAUCUUGCUUAUUGUUGAUGAUUUUACUCGCUUUGUAUGGAGUGCCUUCUUACGAGAAAAAGCUGAUACUUUUGAUUCUUUUUCUGAAAUCUGUCUUCGUCUUAUGACUGAACGGAAUGAUAAAAUUGUACGUAUUCGAAGUGAUCAAGGGGGAGAAUUCAUAAAUUCAAAAUUUGUUGAUUUUUGUGUUUCAAAUGGGAUUAAACAUGAAUUCUCGGCUCCUUAUACACCCCAACAAAACGGAGUAGUUGAACGCAAGAAUCGGGUUGUACAGGAGAUGGCUCGUGUUAUGCUUCAUAGUAAGAAAAUCGCUCUACACUUUUGGGCCGAAGCAGUUAACACAGCUGUCUAUGUUAUAAAUCGGAUUUAUGUGCGUCCGGGUACUUUGAAUACGCCUUAUGAACUUUGGCUUGGUAGGAAAUCUAACAUUAAAUACUUUCAUGUCUUCGGGAGUAAAUGUUUUAUCCUUCGGGAUCGUGAAAAUCUUGGAAAAUUUGACUCUCGAAGUGACGAAGGCAUAUUUCUUGGUUAUUCUACUACGAGUCGUGCUUAUCGUGCGUACAAUUUACGAUCUAAGACGGUGAUAAAAUCUAUCAAUAUAAAAGUAGAUGAAGCUUCGUCUGUAAGUUCUUCUGUGAAUGGUUCCUCUAACUCUUUGAUGAAUGAUGAUGAUAAUGAUUCUCCGUUUGUAUUGCCUGUGAAUGAUGAUGUUUCUACACUUGAUAAUUCCAUUGCAUCUUCUGAAAAUAUUGCAUCAAAUGAUUCAUCUGAGCCACAAAUCACCACAUCUGAAAUCCUUAGCAUAUCUCCUGAGACUACACCCCUGACAGAGUCAAGAGAUCAUCCUUUAUCAAAUGUGAUUGGGGAUCCUAAUGUUGGUGUGCGAAUAAGAAGUCAGUUACAAUGUGAAUUUGCAUGUUAUGUCUCCUUGAUCGAGCCAAAGAAUGUCGACGAAGCACUUUGUGAUGAAUAUUGGAUAAAUGCCAUGCAAGAAGAACUUGGUCAAUUUGUCCGCAAUGAUGUAUGGGAAUUGGUGCCCCGUCCUGAGCAACAACACAUAAUAGGUACAAAAUGGAUAUUUAAGAAUAAGAAAAAUGAGGAUGGUACUAUUGUUCGGAACAAAGCGAGACUUGUUGCUCAGGGGUAUUCACAAAUUGAGGGAAUAGAUUUUGACGAAACAUUUUCCCCGGUUGCCCGUCUUGAAUCUAUUCGUAUCUUGUUCGCGAUUGCUUGUCAUUUUAAAAUCACGCUUUUUCAAAUGGAUGUUAAAAGUGCGUUUCUGAAUAGAUUUUUAAAAGAGGAAGUUUAUGUUGAACAACCGAAAGGUUUCAUAGACUCAAAAUUUUCAAAUCACGUUUUUCGACUGAAAAAGGCACUUUAUGGACUAAAACAGGCUCCGCGCGCAUGGUACGAACGCUUGACAAAAUAUCUUCUGAAAAAGGGCUACAACCGAGGGGGAGCAGAUAGAACUCUCUUUGUAAAACACUUGAAGGAUAAUUUCAUUGUGGCACAAAUCUAUGUGGAUGACAUAGUUUUUGGGGCUACUAAAGAUAAGGAUGCCGCUGAUUUUGCAAAGUUAAUGACCAGCGAGUUUGAGAUGUCGAUGAUGGGGGAGCUUAAUUAUUUCCUUGGACUUCAAGUUAAACAAUCAAAAGAUGGAAUUCAUUUGUCUCAGACCAAGUAUGCAAAGGAACUGGUUAAGAAAUUUGGAUUGGACAAUGCAAAGGAUUUUGACACUCCAAUGGGUACAAGCAACAAAGGACUGGGAUUGAAUUCAGAAGGUCAGAGUAUGGAUGAAAAACAAUACAGAAGCAUGAUUGGUAGCCUAUUGUACUUGACUGCGAGCAGACCAGAUAUUGCGUUUAGUGUUGGAAUUUGUGCUCGUUAUCAGGCUAACUCUAAAGAAGUACAUCUGAAAGCAGUUAAAAGGAUCAUUCGGUAUGUUAAAGGAACAACCAAGUAUGGCCUCUGGUAUCCUAUGGGAACAUCUCUUGAUCUAAUCGGCUACUCAGAUGCUGACUGGGCAAGCUCCGCAGAUGAUCGGAAAAGUACUAGUGGAGCUUGUUUUUACAUUGGCUACUGUUUGGUUGCUUGGCACAGUAAGAAACAAAAUUGUAUUGCACUUUCCACUGCAGAAGCUGAAUACAUUGCGGCAGGAAGUUGCUCUACUCAAUUGAUCUGGAUGAAGAGCUUACUAAGCGACAAUCGGAUCCCUUCCACCACUCUUACCAUUCUGUGUGACAACACAAGUGCAAUUAAUAUUUCUAAAAACCCUGUUUUACAUUCGCGAACAAAACAUAUUGAACUAAGAUAUCACUUUUUAAGAGAACUGGUUGAAUCAAACGUUUUACAACUUGAAUACAUUUCAACUGAAAAUCAACUUGCAGAUAUUUUAACCAAACCUUUGGAUCAAAAGCGUUUUCUACAUUUAAGAAAGGCAAUUGGUAUGAAUCCUUCAAUCUAGAUAUAUUCUAUUGAGCCAUAGAUCAUGUGCAUGUUGCAUUUUUACUUGCAUAAUUUCCGGUGUUUGAGAUUGACUUUCGUGAAUAAUUUGGGCGAUGAAUUGGUCUGUGACUUGAAUUAUUUCAUAUUUAAUUUUUGAUUGAUCACUGUCAGGGUUGUUCUCUAUUGGCAUAUUUUUGAACGAUCAAAUCAUUGAAAUUCUACUUAGCAUAUUGAAUCAAAUUCAGCUCCUCAUGCUUCGAACUUUGAAUGUUGCAAUUGUUUUGUUUGAUUAUUAGUUUUGAGAUGAAUAACACUUUCUCUAUUUUUUUGAAAUUACAAUAAUGUUUUUGACUUGAGGGUUGCGCUAAUUUAGGGGGAGUCUUUCCAAUUUCGGCUAUAAAACUUCUGAAAUUCAAGAUGUGGAAAGAGUUACAUCCCGGCUGGGAGUGUGAAAACUACCACCACAUGGAGGAAAGAGCUACCACCCCGGUCGUCUGGUCAGUGUGUGCAGCUACCACAUGUUGAUUAAAAUAUCUCUGUAAGAGAAAAGGAAAGUACCUUUUAAAAAAAAUAUAUGCUCAAAGAGCUAUACAUCUUGUAGGUGAUAUAAGGUGGAAUGUUAAUAAAAAGAAGCUCAAAGAGCCACUCCUGUCUCGAAUAAUGUGCAUAACUCACUUUGAUCAUGUUAUGGUAAUUUCACGAUUUUUUUGAUAAUUAUUUAUUCAUUUUCUUUAACAAAAUAUGAUGGUAAAAUGAUACAAUAAAUUCCUAGAUCUUGCAUGAUGAGUAGAAUUUUAUUUUAUCUGUAUCUAGAAUUUUUCAUUGAUUGUCGGAUCAACAAUUCUGCCAAAUUGAAUAUCCUUGGAAUUGAUUUUUCAAAAUUUAUUUAUGAAAUUUUAUCUGAAGUUUUUGGAUGGAAGUUGGUUAUUUUUGUUGGCUAAACAUCGUAGAAUAAUAUAUAUUUUUCUGAAAUUUUUGGAGCUUAUUUUAAAUUUUCUUAAAAAUUCUAGUCUCUGGGACCGGUCCCAUGCAGGAGAGACCGGUCCCUCCGCCGAACCCGAUAAAGGGCCAUCGCACGAUCUGUUUUUUUUUUGUGCGCGAUUUUUUUUUUCUCCUGCUUUCCUCCUUGGCACUUCUCUUGUCUACAGAUCAGGGAUUCCUCUUGUUUCUCCUUGGAUUGCAUUGAUUUUAGGUAUGAUUUUCGGAUUUCGUUGCGUUUAUGUCAUAUUCUCCGAAAAUGUAUCUUGUUUCAGAUUUUUUGAUGAGGGUUCUAAAGAUCUUGCUACAAAUGCAUGCUUAUGCUUCGAUCUUGUUAUUAGAACUGUUGUUUUCAUAUUUUCUAGUAUUUCUUUACUUUUGGAACAAGUUUUGUAGGUUUUUCAUCAUCAAAACCUAGGUUUUCAAAGUUUUCCUGAAAAGAUUUGUUUUUGCUGAUUUAGUUGCAUGAUUAGUUCUUGUUUCUCAUGAUUAUGUGGCUCCUAGGAUUAUCUAGUAUUUAUAUAUCCAUUUGCUGAAUUUUUUUUUGGAAUUUUAAAAAAAAUUUUAGUGUUCUUAUGUUUCAUAUGUAAAUAUUUUUAUGUUUAACAGAGGAUUUCUUCAAAAUGUAUUCAUUGUUACUUGUGCUUGUGGUCUUGAUGGUCGGGGGUGGUCGUGGAAGCAAACGACAGCGCUCCAAAGCUAAACGGCCGAUUGAGUAUCAACCGGAAGAUGAAGAGAGCGAAUAUGCUCCAGGCAACGACUCUGAGGAGGACGAGCCGGAUUGGGAGGCUUUUGUUCCCGAGGUAUUAGCUAAGGAUAAGGAUACAGGGAAAGGCAAGGGACAAGGAAAAGCCGUGGAUAAAGGCAAAGGAAAGGCGACUGAACGUCCCGGUCGUCGCAAGUCCGGAGGUGUUGAAAUUCGAGAACCAGGUUCUGAGCCACCACGUCACAGUCUGCAGGAUAUUCCUUCUGCUCGACGGUCCAUGUACUCGUCGAAGCAUUGUAUUGGUGAACGCGAUGUUGGGGUUACCAGUAUCAUUAGCUGUGUGCCAGGUUUUCAGGAUUUAUUUGAACAGGGAAAUCUUCAUCAGAUUUGUGAUUUCCCGGAGCAAACCAGUUUUUGUUUGGAGUUGAUCAGAGAAUUUUACAUGAGAGCAGGUCACCUGAGUGACUUCGAUGGCGGCCCGUACGUAUUUCGGACUUCCGUACGUGGUGUUGAGUUAUCCAUCACUCCUGAUACGAUAGCGUCGGUGCUAGGUAUGGAAGCUAAAACUGAAGGAGUGGAGUAUCUACAAGCUGAGUUCGACUCACUUCGCGAUUGGAAUCGUGUAGUGCACACUAUUUGCAUGCCGGGUACUGAGUCAAACGGCAUUAUGGUUAUGUCCAAAGAUUUCAAAAUGGAGUACCGUUUUUUAAACUUUGUGAUUUGCUACAACAUUCUGCCUGUCGCAAACACGAAGAUUCUGAGAUGGAUCGUAUUCUGUAUAUGUAUCUCUUGGGAAGGCCAGGUAUUGUAAGUGCAAAAAAUAUUAACAUGAAUAUUCCGUUUCUGAUCUGGCGGAGGAUGGUAAAAGACAUCAAAACUUCUGGACAAAAUGAAAGGCUGCCAUUUCCAUUGAUAAUCAUGAGGAUUCUGUGACUUCAUGAUGUGGAUGUCCGGUGUACAUCUUAUGAGCAUAGUUUGGGUCGGAUAAAUAAAAGGACAUUUGUGAAGUCCUCGGUGCAGCUUCGUACACCGUCUCAGCGUGCUUCUUCCCCUCCUGCUGCUCCACCUCCUGCUACUGCUACUUCUUCACGUCCUUCUAUGGACAUUUCCGAGGAAGAUAUCUCAGUUUCUUCUGUGUAUCGUGAGCAGCAACGUCUAUCUGAGGAGCUUCAGAAAUUGUCUGCGGAGCAAGCUGCGAUUCAGAAGGAUGUGAGCAAGAUGAAGCGCUUAUUGAAUAUGAUUUUUGACAAGUUAGGGUGUUGCCGAGCAGAUUUACCUCCAGGGGAUGCGUCUGAUUACGAGUUGCCGGGUUCCUUCUUUUAUCAUUUUGGCGCUUUCUGACAAAAAGGGGGAGAUGGUGGUUCUUGAUGGUCUUGAUGAUGAUGAUCAUUUAGCUUAGAUGAUGCAUUUUGCUUAGUUAUGUUAUGCAUUUAGCUUAGCCUUGCUUAGUUAUGUUAGUUGUGUAAAUUUGACUUGUGCUUGACUAUGAACUUUGACUUGCUGAACUAUGACUUGAUACUUUAUUUAAGUUUGAUCUUGAUAAGUUUACUUGAAUCUUGAUUAUGUUUUAAGAAUGUUUUUGCAGGAAUAAUUCAAGACUUCAAGACUCCAUGUCUAAGUUAUAGAGUUUGUAUUAAGGUUGUAAAAGUGUAAAUUUCUUUUAUUGGAUCGAUCAUGCAGGAGAUUAUCGUUUGGUGAUUGCGAUGAUCUUCUUUUUAUUAUUUAUGAGUUGUGUAUGAACUUUGUAAUAUAUUUUGUCACGAAAUCGCCAAAGGGGGAGAUUGUUAAGGAUUUUAUAGGUUGGCGGAUUUCGUAAUGCUGAAUGGAGUCUUGAAGAGUUGAUUGCGGAAGAUUGAAAAAAAGAUCUAAAUUGAAGGAAAAAGACUCACUCGUAAAGUUCGGCACGUAAGGUAUGAAGAAAAGAUCAUUUGUGAUGAAGACAUUUGUUUAGAAUAAGUUCAGAAGGCUUAGAUUGCUUUAAAAAUACUUUAUUGAACUUUUCUGUGUUCAGGGACCGGUCCCUGAGGUCAAGGGACCGGUUCCCCUAAGGUCCUCACUGCUUGAACUUUGCUGCAACCGGUCCCCUGAGAUGAGAGACCGGUUUCCAAACCUUGGUAUUUCUGUCGCGCAGCGAGGGACCGGUCUCAAGCUUGAGAGACCGGUUCUCGAACGUUGUGAUUUUGGUCACGCAGCGAGGGACCGGUUCCUCACUUGAGAGACCGGUCUCUCACAGACCGGUCUCCUCGAGAAGACCGGUCUCUGAGGACGACACAGGUUUUUAAAAAGGACUUUUUGCAAUCCUAGUCUACUUCUAAGUCUUCUAAACAUAUAAAUAAGCUAUGUGGGUCAUCUAAAAGUUUAAGGCUUUGAAUAUUUACAGAUUCUAAACCCUAGAAACUUGUUUUUUUCCGUUUCAAUGCUUUGAUUCACAUAACGAGUUUCUAACAAUCAACAAUCGGCUUGAUUCUUCGUUUUUACUCGAUAACUCAUACGAGAAUCAAGUAGAUUUUUGAUUAAAGGUGAACCCUCAUAGCUUAUGGUAUUCAAAGGUUAAAUCAUCACAAAUCUUCGAUUCUACAAGCUCCGGAAGGAGGUUCGACGCGUGGAUCUCGCGUGAAGCCAAGGAUUCGGUGGACGCUUCGAGGAGUUGAGGCGUUGACGCUGCGAGGAGUUGCAGCAAGGUCGAUUGGUGGAUUCCUCUCGAUCGAGAACCGGCGAAGAUCACCAUCAACAAGAAAUCGGUAAAUUGAGUCGUGUAUUUUUGUCAAAAUCACUUGUACUCAAGUUUUCUUAGUGGAUUUUCUUCGCGUGAUCGGUCCCGUGGGUUUUUCACUCCGAAUUGGAGUUUUCCCACGUUAAAUUCUCGGUGUGUUGUUUUAUUUUCUGCUACUUUAUUUUAUUUGCAUCGAGAUUUUCGAGUUUGCCGUAUUUACACCUAUUCACCCCCUCUAGGUGUUACUUAUCUUUUAGAUCCUCGGGAUCCAUAUCUUACAUCCACCCCCAGAGUGACGGGCAGUCGGAGCGUACUAUUCAGACUCUCGAGGACAUGCUUCGAACCUGCGUGAUUGACUUCCAGGGAGGAUGGUCGCAGUAUCUACCGAUGGCAGAGUUUGCUUAUAACAACAAUUAUCAAGCAAGCAUCAAGAUGGCACCAUUCGAGGCACUCUAUGGACGGAAGUGUAGAUCGCCACUUCAUUGGAGUGAAGUUGGCGAGAGAUUGGCUUUAGGCCCAGAUGUGCUCCAGGAAGUAGAGGACAAGGUUCGCAUUGCUCGGGAGCGAUUGUUGACAGCCCAGAGUAGGCAGAGGAGUUAUGCUGAUCGGCGUCGACGACAUUUGGAAUUUCAGAUUGGAGACCAUGUGUUCUUGAAAGUCUCGCCGACCAAAGGAAUUAGACGAUUUGGAAUCCGGGGCAAGUUGAGCCCCCGAUUCAUUGGACCGUUUGAGGUUUUGGAGCGGGUAGGCCCGGUAGCGUAUAGACUUGCUCUACCGCCGAACCUAUCGGGUGUACACAACGUAUUCCACGUAUCGGUCCUUCGGAAGUACAUCCACGACCCAGCUCAUGUUUUGGACGCUACGCCUUUGGAGCUGAGGGAUGAUUUGAGCUUUGAAGAGCAACCCUUGAGGAUUUUGGCUCGCGAGGUAAAAAGAUUACGGAACCGAGAAAUUCCCUACGUGAAGGUGCUUUCGAGCAACCACGACGAGCGCGAGGCCACUUGGGAGAUGGAGAGCGCGCUGCGGGAGCGCUAUCCCCAUCUUUUUCAGAUGUAGGCUUGAGGUACUUGUCAUUUCGAGUUUCGCGGACGAAACUCCCUUUUAGGAGGGGUGAAUGUAGCACACUGGACCUUUGCAAAUUGCGACGUUCGAGUAUUUGGAUGUAUUUCGAGCUUUUCCACACUUGGUGGAGGGUUGUAGAAUAUUUUCUGACCUAAAAAGUUCGAAAACUAGAAUUCUGGACAAGUCCUGAGAGUUUUUACUCUCGGGGACCGGUCCCUGAAAGGAGAGACCGGUCCCCCAGUGAGCAGUGUUACGGCAGCCUUGAGGCAACCGGUCCCUGGCAAGCGAGACCGGUCCCCGAGCGCGCCUACGCAGUGAGAGACCGGUCCCGCACAGGGAGAGACCGGUUCCCGAACGUUGGUUUUUCGGGUUCGCAGCAAGAGACCGGUCCCUGCUGGGGAGAGACCGGUCCCUCUGGGCGAAAACUGCCCAGUUCGGGCUGAUGUAAAUUUGAGUUUUUGAGGGGCCUCUCCGGAUUUUGUUACACUAGAUGGGCUUAUUAGCCAUUUCCCUCUCUUCCCUCCUCAUUUCUCACCCUCACCCCACACCUUCUAGAGAGAGAAGAAGAAGAAGGAGGAGAAAAAGAAGAGGAGCUUGCUUGAGGGAGCUUGGAGCUCAACCCCUUUCUCUCUUUUCCACCCUUGCUUGGUUUGGAGCUUGCUUGUAGAGCUUGGUGGUGGACCAAUCUUCAACCCUAGAAGAUUUGGAGCUUGUUUGGAGGCAUCUUGGGAGGUUAGUACUUGGAUUCUACCCUUUGAUCCUUGAUUUGGUAGGUUUUACCAUAUGGAACCCUAGAAUGGAUAUUAGGGUUGAUUUUUGGGGCUUUUUGAUCUAGGGCUUUUGAGGCUAGAUUGAUUGGAUUAGAACCUUCCUUGGGCUUGGAUUGGAAGGGAUUUAGCUCUCUUUUGGAGCUUGAGAGAGAUUUUCCACACAUUAGGUGAGUUUUAGCCCUUUUGCCAAGUUUGUUAAAGUUUGAUCUUAUAGUUGAUCGUAAUGCCCGUGUAUCUCUUCGCUCAAUACUUUUAGGGUAUUUUGAGACUCGUGGACAACUCCGUUCGGCGAAUCGAAGGAGCACGCGACGGUUCGGUGGGUUUGACCUAGCCACACAAUGAGAAAAUCUCAUUGUUGACGAUUUAAGUGUUAUAAAAUGAAAAAGCAUGCAUAUUCUUGUUAUAUGUAUUUAUUGUGAAUUUUAGAAUGCUUAAAAUGCCUAUGUUGCAUAUAGUAAAAUUUUGGGCCUCUAUGUAGUAGAGAGCAUGCAUGUGUGAUAUAGCAUUCUGGUUGAGAUUUGAAACUAAGAUCCCUAUUAUGAAAAUGAACCUUGCUUUCAUGCAUUUAGCUUAUUUGCCAAUUGUGACAUUAGGGAUUUUUGGAAGCCUAGAGAGGCUUGAGGACUUAGACUAUUUGAGAGAUUGGGCCAAUGUCAUAAAGAGGCAUUGGGCCCGGGCUAAAGUGAACCUUGCUAGUAUUGUUUUAAUUGGAAUAUGGAACAUGAAUUGGGCAUGAUUAGUUGUGAUGCUUAAGUGUCAUAAAGAGGCACUAAGCAAGUGUGUGCGUUGGAGCGUCACUUUGAGACUUUGGACUAGAUCCUUGGGAUGCUAGUGACCUUGCCAUGUGAGAGGCAUGAGAGUAGAGUACUUGAGACUUUGACCUUGCUUGUUUGCCAUUUGUGCUCAUUCGCACAUGCUUGUGAGGGUCGCUCCCUACAAGCCGGCACUCCGGAGUUAGCCUACGCGACUUAUGUUCGCUCGUGCGGUAUUGAGAAGCCUACGGGGUCGAGUGGGACAGACACAUUCCAAGAGUAGGGAUGUCAGGCUACCACAGGUACUUAGGCGGCACAAGCUGGACUACCUUUGGGAGGUCCUUAAUUGGAAAUGGAAAUCGACACGGUGUUAAAAAAUGAAUAAUCACUGCUAGAUAGGCUUAGUAGUUGGGUUACCUGACACGCUCAUGACAUAGCAUUGGGAUACAUAUAGUAUACUUGCCUGUUUCAUUCAUUGUGUCAUAGUAUACUGGGUCGCAUAGUAGAACUCAUUCUUUAUGCAUGACAUCUUGGACGGUAGCAUUUACUUCCUGCCAUCGGACGUACUUGUUUAUGCUAGAAUAGAUGUACAUUAUACUUACAUCAUGCCUUGCUUACUAUUCUUGUCGUUACUUACCUUUUUCUUUUAGGGCCUAGAGGUGCAUUGGGCUGAGGUCAGUAAUUGCCCACUGGGAACUAUAAAUUAUAGUUCUCACGCUCUCUGUUUUAUGUUUUCUUUCAGAGCCUUCCACGCCGGGAGAGGCUAGGGACCGUGGGAAGGGCGUCGCAUCGAGUUAGCCCUUCAGCGAGAGAUGAGUUUAGGUGGUUUACCUCUCGAUGUUUUAUUUUGUGAGAGGUUGAGAGUUGUACCCGUAUAUGUAUAGAGACCACCUUUCUUUUGGAUCUUGGUAUUUCUUUUGAGGAGUUAGUAUUGUAUCACCUUAUGUUUUACUUUCUUCGUCUCGAUAUAUUUCCUUUACUCUGGUUUAGAUGAUAGAACUUUGCUCGCUCUGAUAUCGUUAGUUGUUAUUAUUCUAUUUGUACUAUUUCUUGCUUUUAUUUCUGCUUUAUUGUAGACGCCUUAUAUGUGUAGACAUAUGGCGGGUCUAGGCACGCCACCGGGAGGGCCCCCGCCGGUCCCGGGGCGUGACAGAUUAAUUUGGUAUCAGAGCCUAGGGUUGAGUCUUAGAGGACCUCGCAAACCUUAGGCCGGUUGGACUAUAGGAAUUAGGCUCGUCUCGAGAAUACCCUAUCCUCUAGGGUCAUAAUCAUCGUAUAGUCCAUAGGCGUCGUAUACACCGAGUUCAACAUGCAUCACUUGUUUUCUUAUACACUAUCAACUAGAUUGCCACUUGUCCAUGGUUUACUAUCGACUAGAUGCCACUCAUUCUUUGUUUAUCAUUAGACCAACCAUUGAGUCCAUCUCUUCCUCUGCACUAUAGGAUCCUCAAACCUCGACCCAAUCCUUAUCGAUCCACUAUAUCAAACAUCUAUUACAUGCUACGAUAUCAUCAAGGAAAGCAUAAGGAAAGGCAAUGCACAAUCAUCAUAUAAUGCAAUAAUACAAGAUGCAAGAAUCGACAUGUACUAAGACAUAGAAGGGAGCCCGAUUGCUUCGGGAUGGACACCACCCACCUCUUAGUGAUGCCGCGAUGAUAGAAAGCUCGACGUUGCGGUCUUUGCACGUCGCUUCAACUCCUCGGGGCAAAGCGAGCCCUCGAGUACCCGAUUCGGCGAUAACUCCGCACUCGCUCGUCGGAUCGGCAAACCGUCUUCGCCGACGCGUUCCGAGACCUAGCAAUUUGGUUUACGACCUAUUAAGAUAGAUCAAAACCCUAGAUUUAUCAAAAUCCCAAAUCUGUGCCCUAGAAUGGCAACGAGGGAGAAAUCCGUGGUGCAAGCUUCGAUUGCGAGCCCGAACCAUCUACUUAUCUUCUCUAGGUUCUAUUUGAACCAAUUCUAAGCAAUAAAACCCAAUCCUAAGAAAUCUACCAUGGAUGGGUUUGGAGUUUACCUCUAAGCCAAGGUCCAAGCUUGCCCUAGCUUGAAGGAGAGAGGGAAGAAGACCUUCUUCUUCUUCUUCUUCUCCUUCCACUUCUUCCUCUUUUUCUUCUUUUCUUUCUUCUCCUUCUUCUUCUCCUUCUUUUCUUUCUAGAGAGAGAGAGAGGGAAAGAGUGUGAAAGAGAGAGAGAAAGAGCAACUGGGAGGGAGAAAGGGGGGUCCCUAAGCCCUCAUAUAGGCCAUUUUGCAGAUAGCCCCCUCAACUUUUCAUUUCCUGAAACAGCCCUCCCUGGGCCAUUUUCGUAGUGAGGGACCGGUCCCAGCUCGGGGAGACCGGUCCCCGAAGGCUGCCAUUUCGAGCAGAGGGGAUUUCGUGUUCGGGAACCGGUCCUUGCCUGAGAGACCGGUCCCCGGGAGACCGGUGCUGGUCCGAGAGAUCGGUUUCCGAGAGCUGCACUUUCGGGACUUAGCCAAAUUUCGGCUUUUCUCGCUGGGCCAACGUUCGGGAACCGGUCCCUGCCUAUAGGGACCGGUCUCAUCAGAGACCUCCGCAACCCAGCCUGAUGGGACCGGUCCCUCCCUGCCAGGGUGUCACGCCCCGGGACCGGCGGAGGCCCUCCCGGUAGCGUGCCCAGACCCGCCAUAUGUCUACACAUAUAAGGCGUCUACAAUAAAAGCGGAAGUAAAAGCAAGUAAUAAAACAAAUCGAAGAAGUGAAAUAAUGAGCAGCUAAUGAUAUCAGAGCGAGUAAAGUUCUAACAUCUACACCAAGGUAAAGAAAUAAAGCUAGACAAUAAAAGAAGUCAUAAGUAGUACAAUAUCUGUCUCAAAAGUACAAAAACGGUGGUCACUAAUACACUGGUAGAACUCUCAACCUCUCGCAAGAGGAAACAAAAAUCGAGAGGUAGACCACCUAGCAACUCGUCCUCGAAGGAAGCUAGCUAGAAAGCAACUCCCUUCCCGCGAUCCCUGGCCUCACCCUGAGUGGAAGGCUCUGUAAAACAUCGAGAAAAAGAGGGCAUGAGAACUAUAAUUUAUAGUUCCCAGUGGGCAAUUACUGACCUCACUCAUCGCACCACUAGGCCCCAAAAAAGGGGCGUAAGGUAAGAAUAAGCAAAAUAAGAAUAAUUAGUAACAAUGUAGAAGCGUAAUAGACUGGUGCUAAGCCAUAUUCUCAAAGUAAGCAAUGAUGCCAUUGGUAAUGUACAUCUAGCACUACAUUAAGUAAUAAUCCGAUGCAUACUAAUAUGUUCACACAUAAAAGCAAGUAGCCUCACGAUACGUAUGUCAAUGCAUAAGGUAAACUCUUAUCCAAACACGAGUACCUACGAUGACAAUGAUAAUUGGCCAAGUAUACUAAAUUACAAUGCGUAUUACAUAAAUAGCGUGUCAAUAAUUCCAAACUACUCCUAUCUAUAGUGAUUGUUCAUAAAUCAACACGUGUCGAUUUCAUUUCCAAUACAAGGACCAACUCAAGUGGUCCAGCUUGUGCCGCCUAAGUGUCUGUGGUACAUCGACAUCCCUACUCUUGAAGUGUCUUCCCACUCGACCGUAGCACGUGCUUCUCAAUACGCUCACUGAUGCGAACGUAGUCGCGUAGCUAACCCCGGAGUGCCGGCUUUGUAGGAGCGACCCAGCACAGCAUCGUGCGAAUGGACACAAUGGCAAGCAAGCGAGUCCAUAGUCUCCAAAUAUCCAAUCUCAUGUCUCCUAACAUGGUAUCAUCAUAACUAGCAUCCCCGAAGAUCUGCUAGUCACAUUGAAUUGGUAUUUUUUGCCGACGCCUAGCUGCCCUUGAUGAUGACUUAGGCAAUUUGAUGUCGCAACUGUAACCCACAGCUCGCUCGAUGGCACUACUCACGACAGGUUCACAACAUUGUCGCACUCAAUGCCGCUUGAGACAUUAGCAUCUCGUAGUUUCAGCUAUACAUUUAAGUUCAAUACCCUAUAUGCAAUUUUUGUCACUCUUUUACAUGUCUCAAGAUAAACCUUAAGUUAAAUGCAUGAUCCAAAGCUCAUUUACAGCUCAUAUAGAAGCAUGAACUCACCAGUCUCAUAUAGAACUAAUGCAACACAUAGGCCUACCAAGCUAACUCUCUUACUUAACAUAUGAGUCCAAAAUUUCAACAUGCAUAACUUAGCGCGCCUUUUAAGCAUUUCUAAAAUUCCCUGGAAUAAUGUAUAUAAUAAAGAAUAUGCAGCUUUUUCAAUUACCGAGCAUAAAGUAACCAUAUACAUGAGAAUUUCUCCAUAUGUAGGCAGGUCAAACCCCACCGAACGCGUCGCGUAGGUCUCGAUCCCGCGAACAAGUUGGUCCCCGAGUCUCAAAUUAUCCUAUAAAUAAUGUGACGAUACAAGAUAACAUGGGCAUUACGACCUAGUUUAUAAGAUCAAAACUCUUAAGACAUUUUAGCAAAAGGCCCACCAAAACUCACCCAAGCAUAAAAUCCUCUCUAAGCUCUCAAGGAGAGUAAGAAUCAUUCCAAUCCAAAGCCCAAGAGUUCUAGUCCAACACAUCUACUCCAUAAAGCCUCCAAAGCACAAAUGCCCAAUAGACCCUCAAAUUUCCAUUUCUAAGGGUUUGAUCUAUGAAUUCGAUUCACAAAAUUCACUAUUCUAUAGGAGACGACCAAGUAGAUUACCUCCUACGAAGCUCAAUCUACAGCUUGUAACAUCUCUAAGUCCAAGGAUCUCCCUCAACUCUCCAUAACCAAGCCUCAAUAGGGAAAGUCUCAAAUCAACAAAGAGAGGCAAAAGAGGGGUUUAAUCUCUUUAAACAAUAUCCAAAAAAUCAACAGAAAACAAAGAGGUGACAGGGUGGGGCCUCCCCUAUCCUUCUCUCUGUCCAAGCUCAGGAGAGCCACUAGGGGCGUGGGGGAUACAUAUAACAAUCGAACAAUUAGCGAAAAACCCCACUGCAGUUCAAACUGCUUCAAGAAUCUGCCGAAACGUGUAUCGCGUACACCGGAAAGUGUACCGGUCACACAUCUACGAAAUGCGAAACGAAGGCUCGGCGUUCGAAUUUCCCACAGUGUACCUGGUACAGACUACAUCAACGCGUCCGGUACAAUAAUGUGUACGUACGACCAUCAACGAGUCGUACCGUACACCUUGUCAAAUCAAUCCGAGGGUAGGCUAAGUCCAACUUUUUGGUGACCUUAGCGCUACAUAAAAUACUACAAUUCUCGAAAUACGUGCCAUAGGUCGGAACACUGUCAACGACCCACCAGAAAGUCUGGAAAGACUCGGGACACUGUCCAAACACUCGAACCCCGCAAUUUGCAAAAGUCCGGUGCGUCACACAGAGACUGGUCACCGAGAGCAUUUCUGCUCCAGUGCAAGUUUUGCAAUUGGUGCUCUCGCGGACCCUUCCUUAGUGCACUUAAUGCGUUAAAAUCACCUUCGGACUUUCCAAAGCUUACACACUCGACAACUACUCGAUUCUGAUUGAAGUCUAAUCCUCGAGUUUUGAGAAUUCACUUCCUCACACCAUGUCUCCACGGUCCAAGGAUCGAUCACCUCUCCGUCGAACGUAGGCGGAUGGAACUUCGUAAAUCUCGUGAGAGCCGUGUAUCCACGCUCUCGCUCCGCCUCAUCAGCUGCUACCCUCGGCAUAGGGGAUCUAGACACCGCAGGAGGAAUAUCCACCGGUGGGGGUUGCGCCGCCACCGGAACCGGCACAUCGCCUACACCCUCAGUCGCAUUGGGAGCGCGAACCGCAGGCGCAGGCAGAUCGCGGCCUGGACCAACUGCCGCAGCCGCCGCCGCCGCCGCCACAGCUUGUCGCUCCAACAAUUCCUGGAGCCGAUCGAUCGGUCCCAUUAGCGUAGCAACUUGCGCUCGCAACUCCUGUCCCUCGCUAGGCCCAGCUGGCUCUGGCGCCCCCGGAGGCACAGCUGGCUCGAGCACCUCUGGAGGUGGUGCCGGAGCAGUCCUACGCACAUAACGUCUCUUCGGUGCCAUCAACUCCUGAAACGCAAAUAGUUGGUUAAUUAUUUAACCCAACAACGUCGUCGCAGUUAUGAAACAAAACAACCCAACCACAUUAAUCAGACGGAAGCUCUUAGGCGUACUCAUUCUCGACUCUCGGCAUCGUGUCGUCGGCCGCCAACACAACCGCCUUAAGCCAAGAGCUAGUAUCACUCAAUUCAUCUCUAGCAACUACUAGAGUAUCAACACCAAUCUCGACCCAAUCGAUCAACUUCCGUCGCAUCAUAGGUUCACGUCGCACUCACGCACCUAUAACCUUAUGGUUCACCAUCCUAGAGUCUCCUAGGUCAGUCCUAGACUCUCUCUUUUGCUUGCUCUUACUCGCUUUGAUACCACAAACUGUCACGCCCCCGCCCCGAGGCCGAUACCAAUUUGGUCCGGUUCGUGCGCGGCGGAGGACCGCCGAACGGACAGCACCUCCCCUGUCCGCCCAAGGCUCUCUACAAAAGUUAAGUCGUUUAUGGAUAGAUAGACGUAUAGAUAGACACGGACGAAUCUGGAUCACCCCUCUAGCCGCCUCAGCCGCCGGCUUGGGUGACCCUUGAUAAGCAUCAAGAGUAGGGUGAAACAACGUCCAGGCUCAUGCUCAUCGGGGCCACUCCUAGCGCCGUUCCCGCAUCGCGGGAUUACCAUAAUCGUGUAUCGAUCGAAAUGAAGGAAAACGUAAUCGAUGGGAUAUGAAUAUAACUCUCAUCUACAACAUAUCCCACUCCAAAACUCUCCUAACAUGAACAUAUACUAGUAUAAAACCCUUUUCUUGUUUUCUCAACAUUAAUUUACAUAAUUCAACUUACCUACAUUAUCUUAUCAAUUCAUAGAAAGAAAGUAAGUGAACAUACCGACAUAAUGAGCACUACGAACGAGAGCAUAACAUAUCGUGAUAAACACGAAAGCACCAUACUAACACAUACAUAAGUUCAACAACAGGACCCUUGAACAACAUGUGUUAGAGCAGUAANNNNNNNNNNNNNNNAAUUCUUCUCAUAAUCCUUUAACUGCCGUGAAGCAUAAGCAAUCACCCUACCAUGCUGCAUCAGUACGCAACCAAGUCCACUGUGCGAUGCAUCACUGUAGAUCACAAAUCCUUCGCCCAUAACAGGAAGGGCAAGGAUAGGAGCCGACAUUAACCUCAAUCUCAACUCGUCAAAGUACCUCUGACAGUCGUCGCUCCAGACAAAACGAAUCCCCUUCCGCGUCAAGCGCGUGAGGGGUGUGGAAAGCUUCGCAAAGCCUUCCACAAAUCGACGGUAAUAUCCUGCCAGUCCCAGGAAGCUCCGUACCUCAGUAACCGUCGUCGGUCUAGGCCAAUCUCGAAUCGCCUCAAUCUUCUUCGGGUCCACUACUACGCCCUCAGCUGAAAUCACAUGGCCCAAGAAAGCAACCUCCCGUAGCCAGAACUCGCACUUCUUUAACUUGGCAUACAACUUCUUCUCGCGCAGAAGUUGUAGCACAAUCCUCAAGUGCUCCUCAUGCUCAGCAUCACUCCGGGAGUAAAUCAGGAUAUCGUCGAUGAAGACUACCACAAACCUAUCCAAGAACGGCUUGAACACUCUGUUCAUCAAAUCUAUGAAGGCGGCAGGGGCAUUCGUCAAUUCAAAAGGCAUCACCGUGAACUCAUAAUGCCCGUACCGAGUCCGAAAAGCCGUCUUGGGAACAUCCUCCGCCCUCACCCUCAACUGGUGGUAACCUGACUGGAGAUCAAUCUUCGAAAAGACACAAGAUCCCUGUAGCUGAUCAAACAAAUCAUCAAUGCGCGGCAAGGGAUACUUAUUCUUGAUGGUCACUUUAUUCAGCUCCCGGUAAUCCACACAUAACCUGAGCGAACCAUCCUUCUUCUUUACAAAUAACACCGGCGCUCCUCAAGGCGACACACUGGGUCUCACAAACCCUCUAUCCAUCAGAUCAUGAAGUUGCGCCUUUAGCUCUCUCAGCUCUGCCGGUGCCAUCCUGUAAGGUACCUUUGAGAUUGGUGCAGUUCCAGAAACUACAUCAAUCACAAACUCAAUCUCUCUCUCCGGCGGCAACGUCGUCAACUCAGGGGGAAACACAUCCGGAAACUCGCGGACUACUGGGAUGUCCUCGAGUCCCGGCGCCGCCGUAGGUACCUCCACAACUGUCGCUAGGAACGCGAUACACCCACUGCUCAGCAUCUGUCGAGCCCUCGCCGAAGAUAUCCAGGUGGCAAACAGCGUGCUCCUGCAGCCUCUGAAAGUAAACUCCUCCUGGCCUGGCUCGCGGAACGUCACCGUCCUCGCUCCACAGUCGAUCGUAGCAUAGUACCGCGCCAGCCAAUCCAUACCGAGCACUACGUCGAAGUCCUGUAGCUGCCCUAACACGAACAGGUCUGCGGGCAUGAUCGAAGAGUCUAACUGCACCGGACAGGACCAACAACACUCUGUAACCUGCAAGACAUGGUAGGGGAUCUGCACCUCUCGUGCCUGAGACAACGCUCCUAACUCUAGACCAUGCAACAAUGCAAAUGCUCGGCUAACAAAGGAAUGCGAUGCACCGGUAUCAAAAAGAGUGCGAACUCUAAUGCCAGAAAUCAAAGUGAUACCUGCCACCACUCGGUCGGCUGCUGAAGAGUCCUCCACCUGAGCUGCGUAGACCCUGCCACUCGGAGCCUGCUGUCGCCGCUCACUCGACCGCGGCACAGACGAUCUGUCCUCCUGGCGGUAGCUCGGUGCUGCUCCGUAAGACUGCUGUGGUGCUGGUGGUGCCGAAGCUGAUGACGGUGCUGGAGAUGCUGCUCGGGGACAAGCUGCCCUCAUGUGUCCCGGCUGACCACAUCCGUAGCACCUGCCCUCUCUCUGCUCGCACUGCCGAGGCCAGUGUGGUCCCCCGCAGAUCACACACUGUGGCGUCCUCUGAGUCUGCCCCUGCUGACGGGAUCCCCUGGAACGCUGACGCCCCGAAGACCCACGACCCUGAGAACGUGAUCGUGGAGGUCUCGGCGGACGUCUGCUGCUCGACUGCCCUCCGUCAUCUGGAAAGGGGCGCUUCCUGUCCUGACCCUGCCCCACGGCCUGAGUCCUCUCCUGCAGCGACACCUCACCUCUCUCCACCCAUAGGGCCUGCUCUAUGGACGCAUCCAGGGUCCUCGACCUCUGCGCCCGCACUAACCUGAAGAUGUCCGGUCUCAGCCCCUGCUCGAACAUGUAUACUCUGUGCGCCUCGUCUCUGGCCGCAAAUGGUACACAGUUCAGGAGUCGAGUAAACUCCCGAACGUACUCCUGCACUGGGCGAUCUCCCUGCUGAAGCCUCCUCAAAUCCUCCUCGAGCUUCUGCUUCACACUGUUGGGAAAGAACAUCCCAAACAGCAUUCCACAGAACUCAUCCCAACUCAGCUGCGCCGCCACUAGCCCCUGGUCUCGCCUCGUUCUCCGCCACCAGUCAUGAUCAUCACCUGCUAGACAGUGUACUCCCAGGGGUACCUGCUCCCCCUCUGGAACGAACAGAUCCUCGAAUAACUUCUCCAUCGCACUGACCCAUCCCUCAACAAUCCAGGCCUCAGUGCUUCUGCCAUCGAAGAUCGGUGGAUCAAAUCGGCAAAAACGAGCUAACCUCUCCGUCCACCGCUCCUGCUCGGCCUCAGUCAACGGUACUGGCCCCCUAGCAGGCGUAACUGGCGCUACUGGAACUGCUGCCGAUGGAGGAACUGCUGCAGCUGGUGCUGUCACUGGGGUAGUCGGGGGUGGAACUGGCGACUCUGGUGCCCUCGGUACAGAACUCGGUGGCUGAGCUAUCCUCUCACACAACCUCUGCAAUAGCUCCCCCUGCUGUCUCGUCACCUCGGUCAGGGCAGCUAACUGUGCACUCAAAUCAGGAGGUGCGCUAGUCUCCGGUCGGGCCCUCUGCUAAACAACUGGGGGUGCACUCGCCUCUGCCUGCUCAGGCAUCUCGGGAGAUCUAGCACGAUCCUGCGCCAACUGCGCACGCUCCCGCAACGACGGUCGACCUCGGCGACGAUACAUAACUGAAAGGAACAAAUCGGGGUCAGUUGAAACACAAACACUCUUGACCCAAUCAACGAAAGUCUGGAAGGCGGUCCCUGUUUCCCUCCAAAAUUAUGUCGUCUGCAGCCAACAUAAUUUCUCAGGCCGAAACAGGAACUCCUUCAGUCACUCACUCUACUAUAAGAGGAGUUAGAACAAAUAAUCAUUGACUUUUGCAAUUAAAUUAUGCCUCUCGCGUCCUGCUUUCCUAAGGUUUGCCAAACUUAGGUUUCCUAGGUCCCAACGACCUACAGCAAAGAUCUGAUACCAACUUAAUCUGUCACGCCCCGGAUUACACGUUCCCCGGGCACGCCGACAAAUCCGCCGUAUACAAAUAAAUUUUUCCUGUAUACGAAGCGAUAGCUGUACCUGUAAAUCAAACACUACUACGAAAAGUAGUAGAGAGCUGCUAGAGAAAACAGAAGCUAAAUAAAACAGAGUUUCAUAUACAUAGUUCAGAUCCAAAAUACAGAGCUACUCGCACUGGCGAGUUAAGUCAACUAUGUACAUAAACUCGAAACAAAACAUCUACCUGCAGUAGGGCACCUCUAGCUCAGUGCGUCGGGUAGGGCUCUAACUCGCGAUGCCCUUGCCUCGAUCCUGGUCCGCAGACGGUGCAGCAGCCGGCACCUGUGGCUCUGCAAAAACAUAGGUAACAACUGGGCGUGAGAACUACUGUAAAAACAAGUAGUCCUCAGUGGGUACCGCCCAAAACAACAUCGGUCACCCACUAAGUCUACAGAAGGGAGCUAAGAUAGAAGGAAAGCAGGAAUCAUACUCUACCGCUAUCAUCCACUACACUAUCAUGCUCUACACUAACCAACUGUAGAAAAUGUCAAAUCUGACCCAAUCCAAUCGGGACUGUAAGCAUACCCGUCCCCGGGACUGUGAAUACACCCGUCCCUGCCCCGUUGCGACUAUCAAGCUCUAUCCACACUAACUGGUCCGUGGAGAGCAAGUCCAACUGGCAUGAGCGACACCAACGCAAAAGCACAAGCCUGACUCCGGAGUGGCACUCGUGGGCGCUACCCAACCGAGUAUGCAGCGUAUCUCUGUCGAGCUCAAUCAGGCUCCAACUAGCCAAGGUCAAGUGAUCGACUCAAACUGGUCAAACAACCAACAGGUAACGUGCCCUCGGCACAAUCUGACGCCAAAAAGGCGAUACGGGUCCACCGUCAACUCUGACGGCACCCAACAGUCCGAAACGACCUGAACAACCCUGUAAAAAUCUACUCGGCGAACCAGCACGAGUGUAAAUACAUUCUAAACUACCUGGAGUACUCGUCUCGAAGAAACUGCGACAGUACAAUUUUCUAACGGCUCCUAGAGCUAAAUCAGGUAGUUAAAACUGGUGACAGGCCCAAAUCGCAAGUUUUCUCCUAAUUCAAUUUCCAAGUCCAACAUAUAUAAUCUAUUUACUUGAUAAAAUAUGCUCGAAAAUUCAGAUUUUACAUUCUAAAGAUAAUCCAUGAAUUUGAGCUAAACUUUAAUUACCGAAAUCAAGAUCUAUACAUGUCGACCAAUAAGAACUUAGGAGUAAAGCCGAUGUAACCCACCUAAAAAUGCAAAUCCUUGGCAGCGAAGGACUCCCACUGGUGUAGAGCAACUUGCUGGAUCAAACGCACAGCUCCGAGUCCAGAAAUCGUCCACGCUCGAGCUCCACACGACAAUAAAUCACCGUUUCAGUCCCGAAUUUCAGCAGUGAGGUACAACAGGGAUUCGACCAAGCUUACCUUCACCAAAUCCAGCAAGUUAGGGCUUCGUGGAUUCCUCUCGUAGUCCUGAAUCCAACGAGCCAAGUCUCGUCGCAAUCCGAUGCUCCUACGUCGAGAACGAGCCAAAAUACAAACAGUCGACGGUGAAAUUCUGCGAAAACAGCACUUAAGCUCUAAUUUGAUGAUACCCGGAUUAAUCGAAGCCACUCCAACAGACACUCACCUCGACAACACCGGGCACCGCUGCGACAGCAAAAACGGCGAAAUCCUCCUCUCGCCCGGCCUUCUCGCGCUGUAACGGCAGCAACCGUAUCCCCGGACGGCUCCGCGGCGCGACGUCGGCAACGAAAGCUCCAACCGAGAUCCUCCCUAGCCUAAGAUCUGUUGGAGAGUGAGAGAGAGGAAGUAGCAACAGAGGAACUCCCUCUCUCUGUCCUCAUAAGGCUAAAUAGAGAGAGAGAGGGCUGGUGAUACAAACGAGGGAGAGAAAAGACCAAAACAC